rnacentral:rRNA from 1 species
UGAGUAAUACAUCGGAACCGUACCCGUAGGUGGGGAUAACCCGGCGAAAGCCGGACUAAUACCGCAUACGCUCUACGGAGGAAAGUGGGGGACCCCAAGGGCCUCACGCCAUGGGAGCGGCCGAUGUCCGAUUAGCUUGUUGGUGAGGUAAAGGCUCACCAAGGCUACGACGGGUAGCUGGUCUGAGAGGACGGCCAGCCGGAUUGGGACUGAGAUACGGCCCAG